rnacentral:rRNA from 1 species
ACGCUCGACACCUACGGGUGGCAGCAGUGAGGAAUAUUGGUCAAUGGACGCAAGUCUGAACCAGCCAUGCCGCGUGCAGGAUGACGGCUCUAUGAGUUGUAAACUGCUUUGUACGAGGGUAAACGCAGAUACGUGUAUCUGUCUGAAAGUAUCGUACGAAUAAGGAUCGGCUAACUCCGUGCCAGUAGCCGCGGUAAUCUGAGCGGGCUGGCAAGGC